UACAUACUCCCUCCGUCCCAAAAUUCUUGUCUUAGAUUUGUCUAAAUAUAAAUGUAUCUAGUCAUGUUUUAGUAUUUAGGUACAUUCAUUUUUAGACAAAUCUAAGAGAAUAAUUUUGAGACGGAAGGAGUAUAUU
rfam:Hordeum vulgare subsp. vulgare, WGS project CAJW01000000 data, contig: morex_contig_2556661